UCCUAGUAGCUCAGACAGUAAAGCAUCUGCCUGCAAUGCAGGAGACCCAGGUUUGAUUCCUGGGUCAGGAA
rnacentral:tRNA from 1 species